rnacentral:rRNA from 1 species
GUGGGGAAUAUUGGGCAAUGGGCGAAAGCCUGACCCAGCAACGCCGCGUGAGGGAAGAAGGCCUUCGGGUUGUAAACCUCUGUCCUUGGUGACGAAAAAAAUGACGGUAGCCAAGGAGGAAGCCCCGGCUAACUACGUGCCAGCAGCCGCGGUAAUACGUAGGGGGCGAGCGUUGUCCGGAAUUACUGGGCGUAAAGGGUGCGUAGGUGGCCUUUUAAGUUGGAUGUGAAAUACCCGGGCUUAACUUGGGGGGUGCAUCUAAUACUGGAGGGCUAGAGUGCAGGAGAGGGAAGCGGAAUUCCUAGUGUAGCGGUGAAAUGCGUAGAUAUUAGGAGGAACACCAGUGGCGAAGGCGGCUUCCUGGCACAAUACUGACGCUCAUGUGCGAAAGCUAGGGCAGCGAACGGGAUUAGAAACCCUGGUAGUCC